rnacentral:rRNA from 1 species
CCCUUAGAUGUUCUCGGCCGCACACGCGCUACACUGAAAGAGGCAACGUGUUUGCCUGAUUCGAAAGAAUUGGGUAACCCCCUAAUCUCUUUCGUGCUGGGGAUUGAGGUUUGCAAUUAUCCUUCAUGAACGAGGAAUUCCCAGUAAGUGCGAGUCAUUAUCUCGCACUGACUACGUCCCUGCCCUUUGUACACACCGCCCGUCGCUACUACCGAUUGAAUGAUUUAGUGAGGACUUCGGACUGAGUCCAAUGCGGCUUUCGGGCUGCGUUGGUAUUUCGGAAAGAUGUCCAAACUGUAUCAUUUAGAGGAAGUAAAAGUCGUAACA